rnacentral:rRNA from 1 species
UACGUAGGUGGCAAGCGUUGUCCGGAUUUAUUGGGUUUAAAGGGUGCGUAGGCGGUUCUUUAAGUCAGUGGUGAAAUACAGCCGCUCAACGGUUGAGGUGCCAUUGAUACUGAAGAACUUGAGUACAGUCGAGGUAGGCGGAAUUGACGGUGUAGCGGUGAAAUGCUUAGAUAUCGUCAAGAACACCGAUAGCGAAGGCAGCUUACUAGGCUGUAACUGACGCUGAGGCACGAAGGUGCGGGGAUCAAACAGG